rnacentral:pre_miRNA from 1 species
AAAAAGACAAACCUUGGGUUUCUGUGUCCGUCUUAUAUGAAAGUUUUUUAUAAUUAGUAUUUUUAUUGUUGUUAGAUGAUAAAACAUGAUUAAUACUUUAUACGUGACUUAUCUUUUUAAUUUUUUUUCAUAUUAUUUUCAAAUAAGACGGACGGUCAAACGUUGGACACGGAAACCCAGGGUU